ensembl:lncRNA
UUAAAAUAACAUUUAUUUAAAAAUGAAAUGAAAUGAAAUGAAAUGAAAUGAAAUUAAAUUAAAUUAAAUUAAAUUAAAUUAAAUUAAAUUAAAUUAAAUUAAAUUAAAUUAAAUUAAAUUAUGGUUGUUAGGUGACAGAUUGUUGCCAAAAGUAAAAUACACUAUGUAUAUCAAGUUUGACUUCUACCCACUCCGUUUCAAGCAAUAGAUGGAAUUAUGUUGUUAAAGUAUGACGAAAGUAUGAUUAAUUUAACUAGAUAAUAAAUCAAAUCAAAUCAAAUCAAAUAUAUAUAUAUUACCUUUUGCCACCUAACAACCAUUAUUUUAUUUUAUUUUAUUUUAUUUUAUUUUAUUUUCAGACAUCAGUGAUUUCUGACAAAUUAUUUAUUAUAAUUUAUUUGUUUGUUUGUUUGUUUUAUUAAUCUUCCUUUUGGCAACAAGCAACCACCUAACAACCAUUAUUUAAUUUCAUUUAUUUUAUUUUAUUUUUUUUACUUUUGGCAAUGAGCAACCACCUAGGAACCUUUAUUUACAUAUUUGUUUGUUUAUUGUAAACAUGCUUAUUUUUCUUAAUUUUGAUAACAACAAUGCAGCAGCAACAACAACAACAACAACAAAACAUCUAAAAAUAGGCCUAAUUUUCAAAUCAUGUGGUAAUAAUAACAGCGAUGCUUGUCUUAUCAACUCCUUCUAAAGAAUUUGAUAGGAAACAUUUGUGAUUUUCCUUUAUAUUUGCUGAAGCAUCAGGAAUGAAGCAGAGUCUUCUGCUGGAGUGUGAGCGAGUCUGGAGCAUCAGAUGUUUUCACGAGCGUCUGAACCACAGCUUGUUCUCAGAUAGAGUCAGAACACAGCGAGCGGCUCACAGAGAUACAGCGUUCAUCAAGGCGAAACAUCAAUGAAGGAAGAUCUCCCGCAGCUGGACUGAAGGGUUCGCUGGAGGUGCGACAGGAGGGAUGUGUGCUGCCGGUGUGCGGUGGGUGGCGUUAGUCCAGGAUCCCCCAGAUCUGUGGCCUUUCUGCAAAUCAGAGCCUUGUUUGUGUUUCCUCUGAUUGAGAACACAUUGGCCGGACCGGGGCGACUGGGGUCCGACUCUCCGGGGUCGUCCAGGCCCCUUCCUCUCCUCAGUAACCCUCCGCUGCCCUCAGAAGGGGGCGACCCGCGUGCCACCGAGACCAAACCUGGCAAGCAAACGCCCAACGGUCUUGGGUUACAACACAAUCUCUUCCUAAACCAUUAGUGAAGACGAGAAAGGAAUUCAACACAAACAGGACGCUGAAGUGCGAGACUCUACCAUCACAGUAUGAGGAGCGAUGUGAUCCACGCGCUCAGAGAAAGGCUGCGGCGGGUGGCUCUCGUGCAAAAGCUACUGAUAUCAACACUUUAGGUGCUAAUAUUAACACUUUAGACAUUAAUAUGGGUAAAUAAGGUAGAAAGUUGUACCUUUUGAAAGGGUUGCACCCCAGUGAGAGCGUUUGUGUAUUUUUUUCUGAGUGUACAGAUUCAUCUUUGAAAUCAUUUUUGUGCAUUAUGCAUGAAAAUCAUGAAUGAAAUCUUGUUACUGUCUUAAAUGUUUCUUUUAGACAGUAACAAGAUUGAAGCAUGGAAGUCUGUUUCUGCCACAUGACAAUCAAUCAAUAAAGGUAACAGUGACAUUUUAUCUCUGACUUUU